rnacentral:rRNA from 1 species
CCCUUAGAUGUUCUGGGCCGCACGCACGCUACACUGAUGCAUUCAACGAGUCUAAAACCUGCUCUGAUAGGGGUGGGUAAUCUUUUGAAUGUGCAUCGUGAUUGGGAUAGAUGAUUGCAAUUUUUCAUCUUCAACGAGGAAUGCCUAGUAAACGCAAGCCAUCAGCUUGCAUUGAUUACGUCCCUGCCCUUUGUACACACCGCCCGUCGCUCCUACCGAUUGAAUGAUCCGAUGAAUAUCAUGGAUUGAGGAUGCAAGUAGGUUCGCCUAUCUUCAUCUUCGAGAAGUGAAGUAAAUCUUAUCAUUUAGAGGAAGGAGAAGUCGUAACA